rnacentral:lncRNA from 1 species
CCAGUCUCUUGGGAGUGAGGAGCACUUUUCUUGGAAGGAAAUAGCUGCCCUCCAGUAUUUGGUAACAGUCUGCACAGGUUUGUAGCCUAGGAGCAAUAGGCGAUACCAUAUAGCGUAGGUUAUGUAGUAGGGUCCUUCAUCUUUGUUUGUGUAAGUACACUCUGUAAUGUUUGCACAAGGAUAAAAUCGCCUACGGACGAAUUCCUGGGGAUGCGUCAUCAAGCGAGGCAUAGCUGUGGUUUCUUACCUGCUUUCUCUGUGGCUUCCACCUUCCAUCCGUAAGGCUACUUUCCACAGAGUACACAGAGUCAUCUUUUUAAUAUGCCGAAUUACAUAAUUCUAUGCUAAACCCUCCGAAGAUUUCCCAUUCCUCUUAGUACGUCAGUGACGGUAGAUAUUGAGACCACCCGAUGGAAGAAGAGCGCGUAGGAUGUGUUCUGUGACCUACAUGCCUAUGUCCAAGAUAACAAAGGUCAGUACAAAUGGGAGUAGAAGGUUGUCAUUUCACCUGUUAUCCCCUAGAUGGUAGUGUGGAACCGCGCAAACUUCUACCUCCGUUGUGAUUUCUAUGGGGCAUUGAUGGUGCAGUUAUUUUAAGUUGAAUCUUCAGGCAGCCUGAACUAAAAUCGACAGGAGUUCCUACUUUUUUUCUUUCUUUCCUUUUCCCGCUCCCUUUCUCCUUUUUCAAGAGUGCUAAUUGUAGCUUCGAAAACGUGCGCGCGCGCACAUACACACGCAUCCCAAAUGGCAAAAUUCUCAAGGUGCUAGAUUCUCUCAGAAAAGCACGUCUGCUGUUCCUGAAUGUAGACUAAACAGGGUUUCACGUCCAGGAGAUGGGGGCUUAGGGAGGGGAUCUUCCAGGGAAAGCAUUCGAGCUCCCUGGAGCCACGACUCCCUUUAGUGGCUUGUGUCUGCAGUUGAGGGCUGCCUGGCAGACGCCCGGACAUUUGGGAAAACAGUCCAAGGUCUUGCAAAUUUCAUCCAAAUUCAUCACUGUUACAAAAUGCUGCUGUUUUCUUUCUUUUUCCUUUUUUUUUUUUUUUUUUUUUGAGACGGAGUCUCGCUCUGUGGCCCGGGCUGGAGUGCAGUGGCGCGAUCUGGGCUCACUGCAACCUCCGCCUCCCG